GUGCUUGCUUUGGCAGCACAUACACUAAAAUCAGAACAAUACAGAGAAGAUUAGCAUGGCCCCUGCUCAAGGAUGACACGCAAAUUCAUGAAGCACUCCGUAUUUCU